AAACAGAUGGACCAAAUCAUUUCUUCGGAAAGUAAUUCAAGCAAUGCCAGUGUUCGUCUUGUUAGGAAUAUUGGGUUCCAUUUUUGUCACAUUUUCUGUCCUCUACAGCUUUGAAAGCACUAGCACUAUCCUCAAGAUUCGCUUAGUUGUGGUCGUCGGUUGUACUAUCCUCUCUGUCUACAUGUUUGUAGAAGGAUCACAAAGACUAUGUGAUGAGAGUAGUCAAAUGUUUGAGAUGUUGGCAUAUUCUCCUUGGUAUUUAUACAAUAAGAAUAACAGAAGAAUUUUGUUGACUUUUAUGACAAAUACAUUGGAGCCAAUUACAAUUACUUGGGGAGGAAUUAUUCUGAAUUAUAAUUUUGGUCUAACCGUACGUUUGCAAACGAUCGACUUGUAAAGUGCUAUUUUUUUCACUAUUUCUUUUAGAUGUUAAG